AGUGAACGCUGGCGGUAGGCCUAACACAUGCAAGUCGAACGGCAGCACAGUAAGAGCUUGCUCUUACGGGUGGCGAGUGGCGGACGGGUGAGGAAUACAUCGGAAUCUACUUUUUCGUGGGGGAUAACGUAGGGAAACUUACGCUAAUACCGCAUACGACCUACGGGGGAAAGCAGGGGAGCUUCGGACCUUGCGCGAUUGAAUGAGCCGAUGUCGGAUUAGCUAGUUGGCGGGGUAAAGGCCCACCAAGGCGACGAUCCGUAGCUGGUCUGAGAGGAUGAUCCGCCACACUGGAAGUGAGACACGGCCCAGACUCCUACGGGAGGCAGCAGUGGGGAAUAUUGGACAAUGGGCGCAAGCCUGAUCCAGCCAUACCGCGUGGGUGAAGAAGGCCUUCGGGUUGUAAAGCCCUUUUGUUGGGAAAGAAAAGCAGCAGGUUAAUACCCCGCUGUUCUGACGGUACCCAAAGAAUAAGCACCGGCUAACUUCGUG
rnacentral:rRNA from 1 species